AAAGUUGCGCAGCGGCGGUGUCGUACCGAAUGAAGUGAUCACUGAGGGGUGACUAUUGCUAGUUGAAAUGUCAUAACCUUAUCACACAGCGUAAUCCUCUGCCGCCCUCAAUUGUGUUUUUCAUUCGUUGGCAACGAC